rnacentral:rRNA from 1 species
GUGUCAGCAGCCGCGGUAAUACAGAGGGGGCAAGCGUUGUCCGGACUGACUGGGCGUAAAGCGCACGCAGGCGGUCGCGGGCGUCGGUGCUGAAAGUCCACCGCUUAACGGUGGAUCGCGUGCCGAUACGCCGCGACUGGAGCCAUGUAGAGGUCCGUGGAAUUGCCGGUGUAGUGGUGAUAUGCGUAGAUAUCGGCAGGAACACCCAAGGGGAAGCCAACGGACUGGGCAUGGGCUGACGCUCAUGUGCGACAGCGUGGGGAGCGAACUGGAUUAGAUACCCCCGUAGUCC